rnacentral:rRNA from 1 species
GAUAGGUUAAGUUAAUAAGGGCGCAUGGUGGAUGCCUUGGCACUAGAAGGCGAUGAAG